AUAAUACACUUGUUUUUGUAAUUUUACUGUCAAUAAAGUCGUUUUUUCUCUCUCUCUUCAUAUUCCUUCACCAGUGCUGCCCCCUCCUGGUGAAUCCAUGUCCGCUGCUGACAUCGUAUUUGACAUAAGUAUUGUGUCUCUGAGCUGUAGUUGUCCUCAGUGGAUGACAGGACCACAGACAUCAGAGUGACCUGGGGGUGUGACGGUGAAACAAGCUCAUCAAGAGUGAAAGGUGGCAUCAUCUUAAAAUAAGCAGUCUCAAACCUGAUGAAAAGUACCAGUUCAACAUGGCUACAGAGGGAGAAGACAGAAGCCAAAGCAGAUGGAGCUCAGCAUCCCUAUCCACAGGUACAGUAGGCCUCAGCAUCCCUAUCCACAGGUACAGUAGGCCUCAGCAUCCCUAUCCACAGGUACAGUAGGCCUCAGCAUCCCUAUCCACAGGUACAGUAGGCUAACUUGUGUUUUUAUCCAGACUACAUCAGUCAUUCAUUACUAGAGACAUGUUUGGACUCUGUCAAAAACACAACCUCUAUUCUAAACAAAUAUUGKUUUUUGUUUCAGUGGUCCCACCCAGAGUUUUAAAGAUAGACCAUUUGGAAGAGACCUCCUUCACUCUCCACUGGUCCAAGGCUGAAGGGAUGGAGAAAGUCCCACAGCGCUUCUUCAUAUCCAACUGCAUCCCAGGAAUAGACCCCCUCACAGCCGUUACUGACGACUGCCACAAAACUUUCUCAAACCUGCAUCCUGGCACCGAGUACACUGUUAGUGUUGCAACUGUGCUGAGCAAUGGGGAACAGAGUGAACCUGUCUCUACAACAYUCUGCACUAUACUUCCUGUUCCAGACCAGCUGACUGUUGACUCAGUGGACACCACAUCAGCUGCUGUUAGCUGGAACCAGUCACCAGGAUUGGACCACACCCAACAUCAUUACCAGAUCUCCUAUCGCUGUUCAGGGACAGAACCAUACAUCACCACCACAUCUUCACCCAGCAUCACUCUCUCUGACCUGAAACCUGCUACUGAGUACUCGGUCACUGUCUGCACUGUGCUGGAAAAUGGAAAGCAAAGUCAACUGGUGUUAACGACCCUCACCACAGUACUUCCUGCUCCAGACCAGCUGACUGUUGACUCAGUGGACACCACAUCAGCUGAUGUUAGCUGGAUCCAGCCACAGGAUUGGGCCAAACCCAACAUCAUUACCAGAUCUCCUACCCUGUCCAGGGACAGAAGUACACAUCACUACCACAUCUUCACCCAGCAUCACUCUCUCUGACCUGCAAUGUGCUACUCAGUACUCUGUCACUGUCUGCACUGUGCUGGAAAAUGGAAAGCAAAGUCAACUGGUGUCCACAACCUUCACCACAAGUAAGGAAGUACACUACUUAAGUAUUGUGCCUGGUGUUAAAGUUAAUUAAACUUUUAUUAAAGUCAUGAAUGUGUUGCGAUGUUCAUGCUUGUUUCUGUUCCUGUGAGUCAUUAUGUCACGGAGUUGAUCUGCCUCUGAUUGCUUUAACUUUAUCAGCACUACAGUGUAAACACUUGUUAUGUGGGAGAGGAUUUAUAAUGCAUUCAGAAAAUAUUCAGACACCUGA
rnacentral:lncRNA from 1 species